rnacentral:rRNA from 1 species
GGGACCCCGCACAAGCAGCGGAGCGUGUGGUUUAAUUCGAGGCUACACGAAGAACCUUACCAGGGUUUGACAUGCAAGUGGUAGGAAUCCGAAAGGUGACCGACCCUUCGGGAGCUUGCACAGGUGCUGCAUGGCUGUCGUCAGCUCGUGUCGUGAGAUGUUCGGUUAAGUCCGCUAACGAGCGCAACCCUCGUCGUGUGUUAUACGUGUCACACGAUACUGCCGGUAUCAAGCCGGAGGAAGGUGGGGAUGAUGUCAAGUCAGCAUGGCCUUUAUAUCCUGGGCUACACACACGCUACAAUGGCAGAUACAAUAGGUUGCGAAACCGCGAGGUGGAGCCAAUCCUCAAAGUCUGUCUCAGUUCAGAUUGUAGGCUGCAACUCGCCUGCAUGAAGUUGGAGUUGCUAGUAAACGCAGGUCAGCUAUACUGCGGUGAAUACGUUCCCGGGCCUU